UUACGCUCGCUUUGCAGCGGAGUCGUCUUUGGAGAAUACGGCCUUUCCCCUCUGCGCCCGCGGGCCCCGGGGAGGGCGGCCGCGGGGCUGGGAGACAAUGGCGGCGGCGGGGCCUGGGGUUUUCCCUUCGCUUUUCCCCUUGGCAGGGCACCAGGGGGAUGUUGGCGCGGCGCUGGGGCAGGAUGUGUUGGCCUGCGCUGCGGGAGGCCGGGAGAAAAUGGCGUAAGGGGCUCCAGCAUGGGCCGUGCCAGCAGCCCCCCGCCGCGCACCCCCUGCUCAGCUGCAGGAGCCCCUCCAGAAAGGAAACGAAGUCGUCCUGUUCGCUCACUGUGGCGUUGUUGCAAGCGAUGGAAUAAGUUCCUUGGAAGGACGCUGGGCACGGUGCAGACACCGUGUUUAUGGCCUGCUAGUGUUUUGAGUCCCAAAUCAACGAGCAACUCAAAAGCUUCUUUCUCCCAUCUGCCCAGUUUGGAGCCAUGCCUGUGCUGACUGGCCUGCAGACAAGUUGAGUCUUAAGUGCCCAUUCCCUCAGUGUUUUGCAAUGUUCCCUUACCUUCUGAUAUUUUUUGGAGCCUUGACAGCAUCUGAGCGAGUUUCUGUUGUCGUUCAGCCAACUCUCCACGACCACUGAAAUCCACACGGAAAAGUGCCAUUAUGGAGUCAAUGAUCUGCAUUGUAAUUUUGCUAGAUAAGUAAAUAUAGUGGGGGAAAAAAAAAGGAAAACCUAUUCUGAAAGCAGUAAGCAUAUAAAUAAACUACUCUUGUACCAACA